rnacentral:rRNA from 1 species
UACAGAGGUCUCGAGCGUUGUUCGGAUUCAUUGGGCGUAAAGGGUGCGUAGGUGGCGCUGUAAGUCGGGUGUGAAAUCCUGAGGCUUAACCUCGGAACUGCAUUCGAUACUGCGGUGCUUGAGGACUGGAGAGGAGACUGGAAUUCAUGGUGUAGCAGUGAAAUGCGUAGAGAUCAUGAGGAAGACCAGUGGCGAAGGCGGGUCUCUGGACAGUUCCUGACGCUGAGGCGCGAAGGCCAGGGGAGCAAACGGG